GGCCGCGGGAAUUCGAUUCAGGCCUAACACAUGCAAGUCGAACGGAGUAUUACGCUGAAAUGAUAUUAGCUUGCUAAAGGAUUUUCUUGUAAUACUUAGUGGCGGACGGGUGAGUAACGCGUGAGCAACCUGCCUUUCAGAGGGGGACAACAGUUGGAAACGACUGCUAAUACCGCAUAACAUGUGACUGUGGCAUCACAGACACAUCAAAGAUUUAUCGCUGAAAGAUGGGCUCGCGUUGGAUUAGAUAGUUGGUGAGGUAACGGCUCACCAAGUCGACGAUCCAUAGCCGGACUGAGAGGUUGAACGGCCACAUUGGGACUGAGACACGGCCCAGACUCCUACGGGAGGCAGCAGUGGGGGAU
rnacentral:rRNA from 1 species